rnacentral:misc_RNA from 1 species
GCCUGUCGAUAGGAUAUCCUGAUGAGUCCGUGACCGUGAGGACGAAAACAGGCUGCAGCU